CCGGAGUUAAUCAACCAGGUCAACACCUUUACUUAAGCAUGAUUCUCAUUCAAAGCACCACUAUUAGAGAUGUUAAAGAAGAUAAACAUUUAUGCACAAAAACUGAAGAAAUAAUUAUUCAGCAAGAACUUUAACUGCAAAUCCUAGAACUCAUAUGUAGUUAUAUCAAAGUACUUUACUAAACAAGGAAUAAACAAGUUCCAGAUAAGAACUAACACAAAAUGCAUCAAAUAAGUAAAAAAAGGACGUUAUUUCAAAAUCAAACGCAGAUCACAAAUCAUCGAGCAAAGUCCUUACUUACCAAUUGAGCGACGUCCGAAGUUGUUUAACUAUCAUUAAUGUAUCAUGAGAGAAACUGGAUGCAUUAGCAAUUCACGAGCAAACUAAGAAAAACAAAAACUCAUGGAGGGACAACCAAGGUAUCAAUCAAUUUGACUAUGCAUUCUGCACUUUGGUCAAGACAAUAAUUUACUGCAUUAUUGUUUAUUGUUUCUUGCUUAACUAAUCAUACUUGAGUUUCGAUUCGAGGUUGUCUUUUAAGAUUACUUCACCUCUGACUUAACUAUUCUCUCCCACUAUUACUUGUAUACUAACACGUAGAUUAAAUUAAGAUCUUAAAUUCUUGUUUAAAUAAAGUGUGUCACAUAAAAUUGGAGAGCUUAAGUGUUAUGCGUAAUAUCUCCCAAACUUGUUGCUUCUACUAUUUGCUCUUUAUCACUGACUUUUCGGCCCUAAUUGAUAAGACAGUGGCAGAUCAAGUGAUGGGUUCACGAAUUCAAUAUAAUCCAAUGUUUUAAGGUUGAACCCUAUAUAUGUACACAAAAACAAGUGUUACAAAGUUGAACUCUAUAAAUGAACACGAUCACAAGCAUGCUAAGGUAGAAUACCAUGCCAAAAAUGGGCAAAUAGAUUAACAUGCUGCCAAAAAAAAGCACAACCAAUGCAUUUCAAAGAGAAUACAUUUAUCAAAUUGAGCUCAUAUUACUUAUAGCUAUCUAAAAUAAGAUAGCUAUUUUGGUGGUCUUUACAAGUCUCACACUCUAAAACAUAAAAAUAUAGAGAUUAAAAGAUUCUAGCGGAAUACUACUCUCAACUCUCAAAAGAUUCGAGCCUUCACUCCACUUGGGCAUUACUUUGCGACGUUGAACUUGGACUUACCUUUCAAUUUUUCCAUGAACUGUAAAGAAAAACAUAAAAAAUAGUUAGUACUUCUUUGAUUUCAAAAAGAAUUAUAGCUCAAAAUUACUCAAAAUACCUGUUUCAUUUGAGGAUGUUGGAAGUUUUCAUUGAUGGGAAUUUCCCAGGGAGAGAACUCUAUAUCACGAUAUAUGUUAUCGCGACAAUGUAAAUGGAACCAUCCUUUUUGUUAAGACAUCCAUAGACAUACGAAUCAUUCUCAUCAAUGCCGUCAUAAUAAAGUAUACCAUCACAUGAAAUACAGUUUGUUUGGAUGGCACCAAACACAACUCCAUGAGAACUGUUCAAACAAAUAACACAUAAUAACAAGUUUUUUUCAAUUUAAAUAAAAUUAAAAAAAAAAAAAAAAAAGAAUAACAUACCAANNNNNNNNNNNNNNNNNNNNNNNNNNNNNNNNNNNNNAGAGUGUCGAACGACCUUUGGGGUAGUUGUAUUUCACGAUUGUUAACAAAUCAUUUUUUACUUGUUCAAUUGAUUGAGGUAUUGACGAUUGCUCCAUGAGUGUAAUUUCAUUGUGCACCUUAAUUACUUUGUUCUUUGCUGAUACUCUAGAUUUCCUUGUGGACAUUGUGGAGUUGAAUAACCGGCCACUGUAAUAAUUAUAGUUGUCGGAGGAAGGGUUGUCGUUGUGGGGUUGGGGGUAAUGGGUCGGGUAGAGGGAUUUAUAUUAGGGUGGAUUAAUUGAUUGAGGAUAAAAUAAAUAAAACUGGAAAGAGUCAAAUUUACCCCUCUAAUUUAAAAAAUUAAUAUAUUAUCG
rnacentral:lncRNA from 1 species